AAAAAAAAGUAGCAAAAAGGCCAAAUGCUAUGUAGCAUUCACAGCAGUAUUUCAUCUGAUUUUUAUUUUUUUUUUUCAGUUUCUUGUAAGAGAGAUACGACAGCUAACAGUGCUGACUUCAACUCAACCUACUGUAAUGGGGUGGAGAACUGGACUCAGUAGUCUUCUCAUGGAAGCUGUAUCAGCUAUAGUGAAGCAACACCAAUUUCAAAGAAAACGGAAUUAUUUUUCAUGCUGAGAUUCAAAAUUCCAGUUCAUUUGCUUUCUCGUUACUGGGAAGGAAACUGCACCACCUGAGGUGGCUGGCAAGGCAGAGCACAUGGCUGAAAAUACGUCACGUGCUACCUCCUGGAAGACAACUGCAUUGCUUGUAAUCCUCGCUUGCAUGGCAAGACAACAAAAUCCUGUAAGAAACCAUUUAUCUCUUAAGAUCAGACUGACUUUAUUGUUCGAAAAUAUAAGUUGUUUCUCCUGCAAGACUUGAGGAGGGGAGCU